AUCUCAGUUCGGAUUGGAGGCUGAAACCCGCCUCCAUGAAGUUGGAUUCGCUAGUAAUCGCGCAUCAGCCAUGGCGCGGUGAAUACGUUCCCGGGCCUUGUACACACCGCCCGUCAAGCCAUGGGAGCCGGGGGUGCCUGAAGUUCGUUACCGUAAGGAUCGACCUAGGGCAAAACUGGUGACUGGGGCUAAGUCGUAACAAGGUAAC
rnacentral:rRNA from 1 species